GCUGUAGAUCAGCAGUAGAGCAUCUGCUUUGCAUGCAGAAGGUCUCAGGUUCAGUCCCCAGCAUCUCCA